GUGCUCACUUCGCCAACACAUAUCUUGAAACUAGAACAUUACAGAGAAGAUUAGCAUGGUCCUUGUGUAAAGUGGGCACACAAAUUUGUGAAACAUUCCAUAUUUUU
ensembl:snRNA U6 U6 spliceosomal RNA